GCGGGAUUAGUUUAAUGGUAGAACAUCAGUUUUCCAAACUGAGGGCAAGGGUUCGAUUCCCUUAUCCCGCA
rnacentral:tRNA from 1 species